rnacentral:rRNA from 1 species
UACGUAGGCAGCGAGCGUUGUUCGGAGUUACUGGGCGUAAAGGGUGUGUAGGCGGUUGUUUAAGUUUGGUGUGAAAUCUCCCGGCUCAACUGGGAGGGUGCGCCGAAUACUGAGGGACUAGAGUACGGGAGAGGAAAGUGGAAUUCCUGGUGUAGCGGUGAAAUGCGUAGAUAUCAGGAGGAACACCGGUGGUGUAGACGGCUUUCUGGACCGACACUGACGCUGAGACACGAAAGCCAGGGGAGCGAACGGG